UCCUCCAAUAGAACAGAACAGAAGUCUGGAUUCACUCGGGUGUCGGCAGUGUUCAGCUGUGUGGGAAUGAAGAAGAGUAAAUGAUGGAUCUUCAGAACUCCAGCAGUGGAGGAAGACCUCCUCUCCUAAAGGAGAAGAGAGCAGCAUCUCCAGCCCCCAGUGGAGUGUCUAUGAAGAGUGAUUGGUCCAUGGAGGAACCUCUAAAGUUCAGCAGUGGAGGAGGAAGCUCUGGGUCUCGAACUGAAACCCAGAGAGGAGCUUCUCCAGAGCCCAGCUGUGUGUCUAUGAAGAGUGACUGGUCCAUGGGGUAUCCUCCUACUUUAAGCAGUGAAGAUGUGACCUCUGACCCACAGUGAGUAAACAUCAAAGAUUAAUUACUGAAUAUUAUAGUAAUAUACCUUGUUAGUGCAUAUAACACACACACACAGAGGAGGUCGGUGUGAGAUUGUGAGUUUCUCUAUAUGUAAUGAUCAGUGUACACAGGUAUGUGUGAUGGGAUGGCAGGAUUUAGAUUAGACUGACUGACCUGAACAAGUAAAUUACAAUAUCAGCUACAGGUUGGAGAAUUACACAUACAUCUAUAUUAAGAGUGUGCGAUACUGAUAAAAAGAAAACAAUAUCUUGAUAAUUUCUGUAAUUUUGUCAGUAACGAUAAUAAACAAUAUUUUGUAUAACA
rnacentral:lncRNA from 1 species